GCGGGGAUAGCUCAGUUGGGAGAGCGUCAGACUAAAGAUCUGAAGGUCACGUUUUUUAUCCACGUUCACCGCA
rfam:Ipomoea nil DNA, scaffold: scaffold2144, cultivar: Tokyo-kokei standard.